rnacentral:rRNA from 1 species
CCUUUACGAUGGCGACCGGCGCACGGGUGAGUAACGCGUAUGCAACCUGCCCGAUACCGGGGUAUAGCCCAUGGAAACGUGGAUUAACACCCCAUAGUACUUUUAUCCUGCCUGGGAUGGGAGUUAAAUGUUCAAGGUAUCGGAUGGGCAUGCGUCCUAUUAGUUAGUUGGCGGGGUAACAGCCCACCAAGACGAUGAUAGGUAGGGGUUCUGAGAGGAAGGUCCCCCACAUUGGAACUGAGACACGGUCCAA